AGAGUGCAAUCGUGCACUGCUUGGGGCCCAUCCCAAUGUCAUCACAUGGCUGUGGUGACUAGUGUAUAUCUGGGAGAAUUUUUCCUCGACUGAUACGGAGUGCAGGUGGAUCGAUUAUGAGAAAUGCGAACAUGUGAAGUUCAAGGCUAGACGAACUUCACAUUCGGCGUGCGAUCUCAGCGUCUGGGACCUGAUGAAGUCUUGGUUGGAUGAUUAUUCAAGCCUGAUACUACUCGACACACCAAUGUUCAUGUCAAUGUAAUUUUUUCAGAGCUGCACUAUUUACGUGUUGAUGCUUACUUCGGUGUUAGCGUAUUUCCCCCGGAUUGUUUCUAUCAUCAUGAUCGUGUGUUCUUGGGCUGAGCGAGCACAUGCACAAGUGUGCAGCUAUAACCCUGUGUAUCUUUGGUUACACUUUGUUCUGCAAUGCAUGUACCUUGUAACAUUAUGUGCUUGCACUGCUUUGUCUGGCCUGCGUAUUUCAGGACUAUUCAGUGCAUUAGACCCAGGUUUGUUUGGUUGCCGGAUGACCUCUUGUUGCGUCGCUCUGUAUUUGUAUUCAUCAAUUUUUGGGCUUGAGAAUUGAGCUGUUGUGUGGUUCCCAAUAUGAAAACAUCAUGCUGGUGCUCUGUGUUUCGAUUAUCGACUGUCGGAGCAGUCAUGCAUUUAUUAGCAGAACGGUCAAUACUGUAGUCUUUUCA